UUUGUCUAAGUAUUUUUCUUCUUUUCAAUAUAUCUACAUAUAAGGAUUGAUAAUUCAUAUAAAAUCAGCAUUGGUAUAGCAAGUCCUAUCUGGCUUAAUACGUCAGGAGGAGUUAAAAUUGCCGCUAUAAUAAAAAUUAUCACUAUGGCAAUUCUACGUCUAUUUGACAAACUUUGUGUAGUUAGCAACCCGACUCUGACCAUUAAUGUAAGUAUAACUGGGAUUUGAAAUGCAGUGCCGAAUGCAAACAUAAACUGAAUUACAAGAUCUAGGUACUCACUUACUGAUGGCAUAAAUUCUAUCGGUAUACCAAAAGACUUACCACUGUUUUCAAAUGUGAUAAAAAACUUCCAUGCUAAAGGAAAUAUGUAAUAGUAGACUAUAGUUGCUCCAGUUGUGAAUAAAACAGGUGUUGCAAUUAAGUAUGGUAAUAAAACUGCUUUUUCACUUUUAUAUAAACCAGGAGCUAAAAACAUAUAAAAUUGCCAUAUAAAGACAGGCGAAGAGAAUAAGAAAGCACUCAUAAUUGCAACUUUAAGGUAUACAAAAAAUGCUUCUGUUAGAUCUGUAUAGAUGAGAGAAAAGUCA